GCUACUUGAAGAGAGGUUUUCCUUUGUGUGUUUGCUGUACUGGCUUCAAUAUGCAAGGGCAAGCUCUCUGCUAGGAGC
rnacentral:pre_miRNA from 1 species